rnacentral:piRNA from 1 species
UUUUUUGUGUAUCUCACCUGA